AUAAAUUAAUUAAGGUUAUUUAUUAAAAUUAAAAUUAAUUUAUUUAUUCUAUUGGGGUGAUAGAAAAAUAUAUUUAACUUUUUUUUUAUAGAAACAUUUAUAAGUGAUUAAAUGAUCCAUUAUUAAUGAUUAUAAGAAAAAAUUACCUUAGGGAUAACAGCGUAAUUUUUUUUUUUAGUUCACAUAAGAAAAAGAGUUUGCGACCUCGAUGUUGGAUUAAGAUAAAAUUUAAAUGCAGAAG
rnacentral:rRNA from 1 species